GUUGAACUAUAGUUAUCCGUAUUAAUAAACACGGUAGAAUUUACAAAAGGCUUUUGAAGUAUGGAAUUAAUUACACAAAUUGAUCGUCAAACCAACAGAAACAGUCAAAAAGCAGAUACAUACGCUUCCCACACAUGUUCAAAGUUCAAAUAUUAGUAUUCAUACAUAAACAAAUUCAAAGCAUUAUCGUUCUUCCUGUAGAGAAGCAACGCCUAAUGCUAUUCUACACAUUGUUAAUGGAGAAUAGAGAAGAUAAAACAUUUGAAAUUUGUUUUUGUUUAUAUCAGUUCAAGCCAUCAUAGGGUUAAAUUUUUUAACCCAUGGCAUACUUCUGGGUCCAACUCCUGGCGGUUCCUUCGUAUUUGGACUUGUCAGUCUUGUACAUGUGAGC
rnacentral:misc_RNA from 1 species